GACGAACGCUGGCGGCGUGCCUAAUACAUGCAAGUAGGACGCAGUUGCGAACGGUUGCGUAACGCGUAGGUAACUACCUAUUAGAGGGGGAUAACUAUUGGAAACGAUAGCUAAUCCCGCCUACUAGUAGAUGGACCUGCGUUGUAUUAGCUAGUAGGUAGGGUAAUGGCCUAACUAGGCACCGAUACAUAGCCGACCUGAGAGGGUGAGCGGACACACUGGGACUGAGACACGGCCCAGACUCCCAAGGGAGGCAGCAGUAGGGAAGGUUCGGAAAUGGGGGGAACCCUGACCGAGCAACGCCGAGGGAGGGAAGAAGGUUUUCGGAUCGGAAAGCUCUGUUGUGAAGGAAGCGGUACUUAACCAGAAAGGGACGGCUAACUACGUGCCAGCAGCCGCGGUAAUAC
rnacentral:rRNA from 1 species